GACGAACGCUGGCGGCGUGCUUAACACAUGCAAGUCGUGCGGUAAGGCCCUUUCGGGGGUCCACGAGCGGCGAACGGGUGAGUAACACGUGAGCAACCUGCCCUUCACUUUGGGAUAACUGCCGGAAACGGUGGCUAAUACCGGAUAUGACUUCCUCACGCAUGUGGGGUGGUGGAAAGCCUUCGGGUGGUGGGGGAUGGGCUCGCGGUCUAUCAGCUUGUUGGUGGGGUGAUGGCCUACCAGGCUUCGACGGGUAGCCGGCCUGAGGGGGUGACCGGCCACACUGGGACUGAGACACGGCCCAGACUCCUACGGGAGGCAGCAGUGGGGAAUAUUGGACAAUGGGCGAAAGCCUGAUCCAGCAACGCCGCGUGAGGGAUGACGGCCUUCGGGUUGUAAACCUCUUUCGCCUGCGACGAAGCGAGAGUGACGGUAGCAGGUAAAGAAGCACCGGCCAACUACGUG
rnacentral:rRNA from 1 species